rnacentral:rRNA from 1 species
GAUGAACGCUGGCGGCGUGCCUAAUACAUGCAAGUCGAGCGAACAGAUGAGGAGCUUGCUCCUCUGACGUUAGCGGCGGACGGGUGAGUAACACGUGGAUAACCUACCUAUAAGACUGGGAUAACUUCGGGAAACCGGAGCUAAUACCGGAUAAUAUAUUGAACCGCAUGGUUCAAUAGUGAAAGACGGUUUUGCUGUCACUUAUAGAUGGAUCCGCGCCGCAUUAGCUAGUUGGUAAGGUAACGGCUUACCAAGGCAACGAUGCGUAGCCGACCUGAGAGGGUGAUCGGCCACACUGGAACUGAGACACGGUCCAGACUCCUACGGGAGGCAGCAGUAGGGAAUCUUCCGCAAUGGGCGAAAGCCUGACGGAGCAACGCCGCGUGAGUGAUGAAGGUCUUCGGAUCGUAAAACUCUGUUAUUAGGGAAGAACAAUUGUGUAAGUAACUGUGCACAUCUUGACGGUACCUAAUCAGAAAGCCACGGCUAACUACGUG